CGAGAGUCUAAAGAACCCCCAAACAAAGUAGCCUCAAGCUCCUCUCCUCCUUCGUUCAAUUUCCAUUCUUGAACCAAACAUUAAUUUUUCUUCCAAUGCUUCUCAGCCUAGUGCAGCACUUUCUACUCCCACAUUACAAAUCUUGUUGGCCCCUCUGUGCUAAAGCAAGUGAAGAACAAGGAAAUGCAUGAGAAAUACAUCAAUCCAACUAUUUCCCCCUCCUCCUUCAUUCAAUUUCUUUGAGUAUUCUUAUUUUUCUGAGUGAACCCAAUCCAUCAUUGAAGGACAGAGUGACUUUAGACUCAUUAGCUAAUUCUGUUGAGCAAUUGACCCAAAUAGUCCAAUCUCUUGUUCAACGAUUGGAAAAUAAUGUCAGCUCUCCCUCUAAGGUGUUUAAGGUCUUUGGUUCCGAUUCUAAGACUCUUAACCAACAAAGUAGUGCGUCGAAUAAUUCAUUGUUGCUAUGGUGUAUUGAAAAGGCCAAGACAGAUCUGUCAAUUGCUAAAAAAAGGAGAACAGAUUCACUUGCUCCAAUCGAUAUUCCUGGAUUAGAGCUACCUAGUUGGGUGCAAGUCUGUUUUAGACCAACAGCUUCAAUGGGUUUGAACGAAACUGAACUUGCAAUUGCAGCAUACUUGUAUGGUAAUCAUUUGAUGGAUAACUACAAGGAGGAUAUAGUAAUUUCAGAGUUUACAGCUCGCAGAGAUGUAUUCAGGAGCUUGAUGCCAGGAAAGCCAAUCGUUUCUCUUGUGCUAGACUUAGUAGCAGAUAUGAUGAGCAUACAUUUGACCAGAGAAAGUGGUUAUUGGUUUUUACCCACAACU